rnacentral:rRNA from 1 species
UAAGGGAUAUUGGACAAUGGGCGCAAGCAUGAUCGAGCCAUGCCGCGUGAAGGAUGAAUGUCAUCUGGAUUGUAAACUUCUUUUAUUUGGGACGAAAAAAGAGCAUUCUUGCUCACUUGACGGUACCAAGAGAAUAAGCACCGGCUAACUCCGUGCCAGCAGCCGCGGUAAUACGGAGGGUGCAAGCGUUAUCCGGAUUCACUGGGUUUAAAGGGUGCGUAGGCGGGUAGGUAAGUCAGUGGUGAAAUCUCGGAGCUUAACUCCGAAACUGCCAUUGAUACUAUCUAUCUUGAAUAUUGUUGAGGUUUGCGGAAUAUGUCAUGUAGCGGUGAAAUGCAUAGAUAUGACAUAGAACACCUAUUGCGAAGGCAGCAGGCUAAACAUCUAUUGUCGCUGAGGCACGAAAGCGUGGGGAUCAAACAUG